rnacentral:rRNA from 1 species
CAGUAGCCGCGGUAAUACGUAGGGUGCGAGCGUUAAUCGGAAUUACUGGGCGUAAAGCGUGCGCAGGCGGUUGUGUAAGACAGGUGUGAAAUCCCCGGGCUUAACCUGGGAACUGCGCUUGUGACUGCACAGCUAGAGUAUGGCAGAGGGGGGUGGAAUUCCACGUGUAGCAGUGAAAUGCGUAGAGAUGUGGAGGAACACCGAUGGCGAAGGCAGCCCCCUGGGCCAAUACUGACGCUCAUGCACGAAAGCGUGGGGAGCAAACAGGAUUAGAUACCCGUGUAGUCCCUGUCUCUUAUCU